CUACUGGGGUAUCUAAUCCUGUUUGCUCCCCACGCUUUCGUGCCUCAGCGUCAAUACCUGUCCAGCGAGUCGCCUUCGCCACUGGUGUUCUUCCGAAUAUCUACGAAUUUCACCUCUACACUCGGAAUUCCACUCGCCUCUCCAGGAUUCUAGCUUACCAGUUUCAAAGGCAGUUCCGGGGUUGAGCCCCGGGAUUUCACCCCUGACUUAAUAAGCCGCCUACGCACGCUUUACGCCCAGUAAUUCCGAACAACGCUAGCUCCCUCCGUAUUACCGCGGCUGCUGGCAC
rnacentral:rRNA from 1 species